UACGUAGGGUGCAAGCGUUGUCCGGAAUUAUUGGGCGUAAAGAGCUCGUAGGCGGUUUGUCGCGUCUGCUGUGAAAACCCGAGGCUCAACCUCGGGCCUGCAGUGGGUACGGGCAGACUAGAGUGCGGUAGGGGAGAAUGGAAUUCCUGGUGUAGCGGUGAAAUGCGCAGAUAUCAGGAGGAACACCGGUGGCGAAGGCGGGUCUCUGGGCCGUAACUGACGCUGAGGAGCGAAAGCAUGGGUAGCGAACAGG
rnacentral:rRNA from 1 species